rnacentral:tmRNA from 1 species
GGGGGCGAUUAGGAUUCGACGACGAUUGCGAACCCUGAGGUGCAUGUCGAGCGCGUAGUGGCUCUCGUAAAUCAAAACGCUACAAACCUUUAGUUGCAAACAAUGCAAACUACCAAGGAGCGAUGGCUGCCUAAAAACAGCGUCCUCCCGAUCACUCGGGCUUGCCUGCUGGCUUGAAAUGAUCGUAACCGAAAACAGGAUCGCCACGGCGGCUGCCUGAGGCCAAAGGGUUAAACAAUAUCAGGAUCGCUUGGUAUCAUCCUGCCCGUCGGAUGUUAUCGAGUUAACCUAAAGACGGAUCUAAGCAUGUAGAGCCAAAGGCAGAGAAUUGGCGGACGCGGGUUCAAGUCCCGCCGCCUCCACCA